ACGGCUCAGUAACACGUGGACAACCUGCCCUUAGGACGGGGAUAAACCCGGGAAACUGGGUAUAAUACCCGAUAGGUCUCGAGUGCUGGAAUGCAUCGAGAUCUAAAGCUCCGGCGCCUAAGGAUGGGUCUGCGGCCUAUCAGGUAGUAGUGGGUGUAGUGUACCUACUAGCCUACGACGGGUACGGGUUGUGAGAGCAAGAGCCCGGAGAUGGAUUCUGAGACACGAAUCCAGGCCCUACGGGGUGCAGCAGGCGCGAAAACUUUACAAUGCUGGCAACAGCGAUAAGGGAACCUCGAGUGCCAGGUUACAAAUCUGGCUGUCGUGAUGCCUAAAAAGCAUUGCAUAGCAAGGGCCGGGCAAGACCGGUGCCAGCCGCCGCGGUAACACCGGCGGCUCGAGUGGUAACCGUUAUUAUUGGGUCUAAAGGGUCUGUAGCCGGCCGGAUAAGUCUCUUGAGAAAUCUGGCAGCUUAACUGACAGGCUUUCAGGAGAUACUGUCUGGCUCGAGGCCGGGAGAGGUGAGAGGUACUUCAGGGGUAGGGGUGAAAUCUUGUAAUCCUUGAAGGACCACCAGUGGCGAAGGCGUCUCACCAGAACGGACCUGACGGCAAGGGACGAAAGCUAGGGGCACGAACCGGAUUAGAUACCCGGGUAGUCCUAGCCGUAAACGAUACUCGCUAGGUGUCGGCCACGGUGCGACCGUUGUCGGUGCCGUAGGGAAGCCGUGAAGCGAGCCACCUGGGAAGUACGGCCGCAAGGCUGAAACUUAAAGGAAUUGGCGGGGGAGCACCACAACGGGUGGAGCUUGCGGUUUAAUUGGAUUCAACGCCGGG
rnacentral:rRNA from 1 species